CCAGAUUUAGGCAACAAGUAAUGGGAGAAUAUGAAAACCACAUCCUAGCCUCAAACCUGUCAUAUCAGUGUUCAAAUUUGUAUUUAUGGUUGCAUCAUUUACAACAAGCGAAUGCUUGACACGUUUUAAAGUAGGUAAAUAUUUGGAGUUAUAGUUUAAACUGUUUUCGAGUAAAAGAAAGAAAAAGUGGUAUGAAUCAGUUUAUUCAGAAAUAAUUUUUUGGAAUUAAAACAGCCACAUAGAGGCUGAAGAAAUUAAGAUAAUCAAAGAGAAAAGAAAACAACUUAAAACUAGGAAAGCUUACUUCGUACGAAAUACUCGUAUGCAAAAUGAGAUAUUCUCCAUAUAAUGUUUUCCAUGGUUGUUUCUGCACCGAACAAAAA